UACGAAGGGGGCGAGCGUUGUUCGGAAUUACUGGGCGUAAAGGGCGCGCAGGCGGCUCUGAAAGUCAGAUGUGAAAGCCCCGGGCUUAACCUGGGAACUGCAUUUGAUACUCUAGAGCUUGAGUACGGGAGAGGAGAGUGGAAUUCCCAGUGUAGAGGUGAAAUUCGUAGAUAUUGGGAAGAACACCGGUGGCGAAGGCGGCUCUCUGGGACGGUACUGACGCUGAGACGCGAAAGCUAGGGGAGCGAACGGA
rnacentral:rRNA from 1 species